GGAGAGGUGUCCGAGUGGCUUAAGGAGCACGCCUGGAAAGUGUGUAUAGGUUAAUAGCCUAUCGAGGGUUCGAAUCCCUCCCUCUCCG
rfam:Thioflavicoccus mobilis 8321, complete genome.